rnacentral:lncRNA from 10 species
CAGAAAUGUCUGAGAACACGGGAGUGAGCUCUUCAUCCAGGAUGAGUGACCGAAGCCUGGGGUUACACAGUCUCCAGAGGUCCUGAGGAGGUGCGCCUGAGGUGGUCAUGUUCCGGUUUGGUUGCACACAUUUCGAGGAGACAGGAAUUGCAGGACGUCCAGGUCGUAGCCAGGAAUUGACAUUUCGACAAGCCCCUACCUGAACCAGGUGACCACCUUGGUAGCAGACCCCAGGCAGGCAGGCAGGCAGGGAGUCCUCAGAUCCUCCCAACAGCCCUGCUAGCUAAGGAUGGUGAUCACACCUGCUGCAGAAGAGUGGACCGAGGCUUCAGAGGGGAAAGCAGUGACCAAAGAUCAGAUUGUGCCUCUCCAUCUCUUCCCAAAUAAUAAAUACAGAUGUGGGGACCCUGUUUUCUGGCACGUGGGAACCCCAAACACCUGGAGGAACUAAGAGGAAAUGAAUGAAACUCAAGACUCAACCAUCACCCAGGACCCAAAUUACAUUACUUUUGAGCUCAGCAGAGUGGGGAAAGGUGGCCAGUGGAGACCGUUAAGGGAGACACAUUCAGAAAUUAACUGCUGUUGAUUGCAAGAUGCUGCGAUGAUUCAACCCAACUCAAAAAUCUCAGGACAUGUGCUUCCCAGUUGAACUUUUGAUGGUUGGAGAGAUUCUCAGUAAUUGUGUAUGGCAGAAAAAGAAGCAUAUGGUAUAUGGAACACACAGCACUGAACAUCUGCUUGAGCAAAUGUUUGUUUCUUUUUUCUUUUCCAUGAAACUGCAUAAACUGUCAACGUUUUAUUCUAAUGAUUAUGGGCCUUUUCAUGGGUUAUGUUUUUUUCAAAAGCAUGCCCAUCCUGGCUCUAAAAUAUCACGGUCCUCAACAGAUGGUGGCAGUUUAGAAGGGAGCGUUUGUGCAAAAGGCCAUGGAGAAUAAACUUAAGGUGUUUGUCUUCAGAGAGAGAACACAGGCUGAAGAAUUAAAAGAGAAUGACAAAAACCCACACAGAUAGGUGUUCUGAAAUAUAGGCCAGGUGCAGUGGCUCACACCUGUAAUCCAUGCACUUUGGGAGGCCCAGGUGGGUGGAUCACCUGAGGUCAGGAGUUCGAGACUAGACUAGUCAACAUGGUGAAACCCUGUCUCUAACAAAAAAUACAAAAAAAAAAAAAAAUUAGCCAGGCGUGGUCGUAUGUGUCUGUAAUCCCAGCUACUCAGGAGGCUGAGGCAGGAGAAUCACUUGAACCUGGGAAGUGGAGGUCGCAGUGAGCCGAGAUUGCACCACUGCACACCAGCCUGGGCAGCAGAGCAAGAGAAAGAUCGUGCCACUGCACUCCAGCCUGAGCGAAAGAAAGAAGGAAGGAAGGAGGGAAGGAAGGAAGGAAGGAAGGAAGGAAGGAAGGAAGGAAGGAAGGAAGGAAGGAAGGAAGGAUAAAAGAAAUAUACAGGGUAUAGGGGAGUUAGCACCAGCCUGGGCCACAUUAUUUAUUCCUUCUGGCAUCCCUCUGCCUGGUCACAAGCAAACUUAAAACAUUGCCAGCUCUGUGUUUUAAUAAUACCAUGUCUUGUAAUAGCAAAUGACUGGGGAAAAAACCUCAAUUUCCCUCCAGAGGGGGCUGGCCAACUAAGUUCUGAUAAAUGCAUUCGAUGGAAUGUUAUGCAACUGUGUAAAAUUCUGAAGAAGUUCUUUAGGGGCUGAACAAGCAGAAUAUACAGUGAAAGGAUAUAUAAUAAUGAAAAGGGUUGCUAUGAUUGUGUAAAAGGAGGAAAAGAGAAAUAAUUACAUUGACUUGGUCCAGAAGGAACCUGAACUGUAAAUCACAGUUCCAUGAGGCAAGGGGGUCAGAUUUUGUAGCCCCUAACAUCAAACAUUGGCUGCCCCCAAUUGUGGGGAGAGAUGAGGUAACCUCCCGGGUGUCUGUGGAUGAGGUGGUUCCAGGGGCAGCUCUUCAGAGGACAAGGUCAUUAGCUGCGCCUCACCCACACUGCCUGCCCAAGUGGGGUUGGGGCAUCCCUGUGUAUGUGCUUUCAGAAUUUCAAACUUCCUUCCCCAUGAACGGAGUCCUGUAUUUCAUCCGAUGGACGAUGCUGUCCACUGUGGAGGCACCAUUAUUUCCUAGCCAGGAAGAACAAUAAAGCAUGGUCAAUUAAUGCAACUGACUGUAAAAGGCAGCCCAAUUCCUGAGACUGUGUAAUGAGUGGAAAAAAGUGAGCAAAGUGGGG